rnacentral:rRNA from 1 species
UCUACGGGAGGCAGCAGUGGGGAAUAUUGCACAAUGGGGGAAACCCUGAUGCAGCGACGCCGCGUGAGUGAAGAAGUAAUUCGUUAUGUAAAGCUCUAUCAGCAGGGAAGAAAAUGACGGUACCUGAGUAAGAAGCCCCGGCUAACUACGUGCCAGCAGCCGCGGUAAUACGUAGGGGGCAAGCGUUAUCCGGAUUUACUGGGUGUAAAGGGAGCGUAGACGGCAGUGCAAGUCUGGAGUGAAAGGCGGGGGCUCAACCCCCGGACUGCUCUGGAAACUGCGCGGCUGGAGUGCAGGAGGGGCAGGCGGAAUUCCUGGGGUAGCGGUGAAAUGCGUAGAUAUCAGGAGGAACACCGGUGGCGAAGGCGGCCUGCUGGACUGCGACUGACGUUGAGGCCCGAAAGCGUGGGGAGCAAACAGGAUUAGAUACCCGUGUAGUC